UGAAUUAAUAUUUUUAGCUUCAAUUAUUUCAAAAUCCUCAUCAUUAAGUAGAAAAUGUUCACUUAUUUACAUCCCACGUACAUCUCUUUUCUUUAUAAUCGCAUAAAUAAAAAAUAAUAUAUAUUUUAUUAUUAUAUAAUUUUUUAUUUUAUUGAAUUUUCAAUCAUCAUUAAAGAUUUACUCCAGAGAAAAAGUAUGAUCAAUCAUCGAUCGGCAUAAUCAUUGAUAAGAUUGAGAGAUGGAAGAAAUGGAAAGAAAGAGGACAUAGGGAGUAGGGUGGAGGAAAGGG
rnacentral:lncRNA from 1 species